GGGUGGGUGGAAAGAUUUAUCGGUGCAGGAUGGGCCCGCGGCCUAUCAGCUUGUUGGUGGGGUAAUGGCCUACCAAGGCGACGACGGGUAGCCGACCUGAGAGGGUGACCGGCCACACUGGGACUGAGACACGGCCCAGACUCCUACGGGAGGCAGCAGUGGGGAAUAUUGCACAAUGGGCGAAAGCCUGAUGCAGCGACGCCGCGUGAGGGAUGAAGGCCUUCGGGUUGUAAACCUCUUUCAGCAGGGACGAAGCGCAAGUGACGGUACCUGCAGAAGAAGCACCGGCUAACUACGUGCCAGCAGCCGCGGUAAUACGUAGGGUGCGAGCGUUGUCCGGAAUUACUGGGCGUAAAGAGUUCGUAGGCGGUUUGUCGCGUCGUUUGUGAAAACCCGGGGCUCAACUUCGGGCUUGCAGGCGAUACGGGCAGACUUGAGUGUUUCAGGGGAGACUGGAAUUCCUGGUGUAGCGGUGAAAUGCGCAGAUAUCAGGAGGAACACCGGUGGCGAAGGCGGGUCUCUGGGAAACAACUGACGCUGAGGAACGAAAGCGUGGGUAGCAAACAGGAUUAGAUACCCUGGUAGUCCACGCCGUAAACGGUGGGCGCUAGGUGUGGGUUCCUUCCACGGAAUCUGUGCCGUAGCUAACGCAUUAAGCGCCCCGCCUGGGGAGUACGGCCGCAAGGCUAAAACUCAAAGG
rnacentral:rRNA from 1 species